AUGGAGAAGGCAGGACACGAGCAUGUGAUCGGCAUCCCAGUGAGCAGCACUGCCAUCGGCAUCGAGGAGCCCGAGUUCACCAGCGAUGGACCUACCAAUGUCCACGGUGAUGCAAAAUACUCGACGAGCACGCGUACCGGCGGCAAAUCGGGCAGGGCAGCGGACAAAUUCGCUCGAGGAAUCAGAGAACAUGUGAGUCUCGGCCCAAAACUGUACGAGACCGUGAGGGGCAAGCUGUCGCUGGGCGCGAGAAUCCUCCAGGCCGGCGGCGUGGAGAAAGUCUUCCGGCGGUGGUUCUCCGUGGAGAAGGGCGAGAAGCUCCUCAACGCCUCGCAGUGCUACCUGUCCACCACCGCCGGCCCGAUCGCCGGGAUGCUCUUCGUAUCGUCGGAGAGGGUGGCCUUCCGCAGCGACCGGUCGCUGGCGCUGACCUCGCCCAAGGGCGACACGGUGCGGGUGCCGUACAAGGUGGCCGUCCCGCUGAGCAGGGUGAAGGCGGCCAAGCCGAGCGAGAACCAGCACCGGCCGGAGCAGAAGUACGUCCAGCUGGUGACCGACGACGGCUUCGAGUUCUGGUUCAUGGGCUUCGUCAGCUACCAGGCGUCCCUGCAGCACCUCGAGCAGGCCAUCGCGGAGUCGCACCUCUGA
rnacentral:rRNA from 1 species